GCCUCGUUAGCGCAGUAGGCAGCGCGUCAGUCUCAUAAUCAAAUUUAGAAAUCUGAAGGUCGUGAGUUCGAUCCUCACACGGGGCA
rfam:Nematostella vectensis strain CH2 x CH6 NEMVEscaffold_477_Cont28279, whole genome shotgun sequence.